UAUAUGAUUCUGUUGUGUGGGUUUGUGCUGUGUCGUUGUUCCACGCUGAGCUGUUUUGCACAGUGUCACUUUGCACUCUGAUGCAUUGUUUCGUGUUGUAUGGUUUUUGCACUGGCUUGUGUUGUGUUGGUUUGAGCUGAGCUCUUUUGCAGUGCGUCAUUUUGCCCUAUGGGACGUUCAUUUACAUGGUGCUGAAUUGUCAGGCUUUGCACUCCUACGUGUUGUCACUUUGUGCUGUGGAAUGUCAGUUCACGCUGAAUUGUUAGAUGUUAGAUUGGGGUGUUUCCACUUUUGUUGUUGUUUAUAUUGUAUUGCGAUGGCAUCGAAUUAUAGAGCUGUACGGCUGCAAGGGCCCUGGAGAGGUCAUGAAAUCCAGCCCUCUCUGCUGAAGCACAGCCAAGCAGAGACGAUGCAUUGGGGGCAUGUGGGACCAAGUGCCCAGAGCAGCCGGCCCAGGCAGGGAGCAGAAGGAGGGAACCAGAGCCAGAGCAGGUUGUCUAUGGGACCAAGUAUAUGCAGAGUAUCCUUAACAGAGGUUUGUUCAACCUGUUCUUAAAAGCCUCCUAGGACAGAGACUCCACAGACACCCUUGGGAGCCUAUUCCAGAGCUUAACUACCCUCAGAGUUAGAAAGCUGUUCCCAAUAUCUAACGUGAAUCUCCCUGGCUGCAGAUUAAGCCCAUUACUUCUUGUCCUACCAUCAGUGGACAUGGAGACCAAAUGAUCAUUGUCCUAUUUAUAAAGACCAAACUUUUCCUUCUGCAAUCAUCCGUUAACUGGUUAUUAUCCCCUCUUCUUGCCUGGGGUACAAUGGAAGAGGAGAAAAUACUCUCUUAACAUAGGAUGCAAAUGUCAGUUUGUUCUCUCUUCAUGUUUUAGUGAAGCUCAGAGAGAAGAAACAUGACCUGCCAAAGAGCACAGAGAGUUUGUUUCCUUUUGAUCUGUGACUAUUAGCAGAAGAGUGACACCUAAGGGCUGUCGCUAUCACCCACCAUGGGGCUUGAAUUUAUGAUGGUGGGAUUAAGAGCAUCAUGCUCUACCAACAGAGCUAGCUAGAUUUAAAGUCAGUCAACUGCCCAGUCGCCGUGUAGAAGGUGCCCUAUAAGAACAUAAGAACGGCCAUACCGGGUCAGACCAAAGGUCCAUCUAGCCCAGUAUCUGUUUACCAACAGUGGUCAAUGCCGGGUGCCCCAGAGGGAGUGAAGCUAAUAGGCAGUGAUCAAGUGAUCUCUCUCCUGCCAUCCAUCUCCAUCCUCUGAUGAACAGAAGCUAGGGACACCAUUUUUUACGCUUCCUGGCUAA